GAGAGAGAGAGAGAGAGAGAGCAUUUUCCAACCUUGUUAUGGGCGGAUUAUUCAUAUGCUGAUUCAUCAAUUCACUUGGCUGUAUGUAAUUUGUUCAAACAUAAAAGUACAAUAAAAUAUUUAGAUUCCUUAUAUAGCAAACAAGAAAAUGGCAUCCUAUUUCAAGAAUUAUACUUUGUUUACUUUUCCAGAGUGAACCAAAUGUGAUCAAUGUUAUCAUGCACAUGCAUAUACCUCUCAGCCCCCUCUGUAAUGUAGCAGCUUAUAAUGGCAGGCAUAAAAGCUUUUGGAUAUCUUAGAAAAUACCUUAUUGAUGGUGAGCGAGCCCAUUCAUGGCCUGGAUAAUCCCAUUAAUUGUAGAUGAAGGUGGAGUCCGGCUAUUUAAAC
rnacentral:misc_RNA from 1 species